rnacentral:rRNA from 1 species
UACGACGGGGGCUAGCGUUACUCGGCUUGACUGGGCGUACAGGGCGCGUAGGCGGAUGGUACAGUCAGACGUGAAAUUCCUGGGCUCAACCUGGGGGCUGCGUUUGAUACGUGCUGUCUGGAGUUCGGAAGAGGGUCGUGGAAUUCCCAGUGUAGAGGUGAAAUUCGUAGAUAUUGGGAAGAACACCGGUGGCGAAGGCGGCGACCUGGUCCGAUACUGACGCUGAGGCGCGAAAGCGUGGGGAGCAAACAGG